AUACUUACCUGGCAGGGGAGAUACCAUGAUCAUGAAGGUGGUUCACCCAGGGGCCGAGGGCUCAGCCAUUGCACUUCGGUUUGUGCUGACCCGUCCAGAUUCCCCAAAUGUGGGAAUCUAAACCCUGCAUAAUUUAAUGGUAGUGGGGACUGCGUCCGCGCUCUCCUGAU